rnacentral:rRNA from 1 species
UACAGAGGUCCCAAGCGUUGUUCGGAUUCACUGGGCGUAAAGGGUGCGUAGGCGGUUUGAUAAGUCUGAUGUGAAAUCCCGCAGCUUAACUGCGGAACUGCAUUGGAAACUAUUUGACUAGAGGAAUGGAGGGGAGACUGGAGUACUUGGUGUAGCAGUGAAAUGCGUAGAUAUCAAGUGGAACACCAGUGGCGAAGGCGGGUCUCUGGACAGUUCCUGACGCUGAGGCACGAAGGCCAGGGGAGCAAACGGG